CAAGCCCGCAGCCAGCACGUGCCUCAGACACAGUGAUAGGGUUUGGUGAGACUAAGAAGGGAAGUCACGUUAUGUCACUCUAUAUGACUCAAAGGGUGGCAGACAGGUACUAUCUUUCGGAAAACAUUGUUAAAAACUGAUCUACAGAAGAGGCCUGAGAACAGGGAACACAGGUCAGAGAGUCACAGUUAGGCCUGCCCCAGCCCAAGCUGAGGGAAGGUCUGGGAAGAAGUUGAGGGAAGCGGAGCGGUCAGAAACUUGAAGCAGAACAACGCAAGAAGCAGAGGUUCUCCUCGGGCUGGGACGCUGUAAUGGCUUAUCCCUCAGAAUUGCAACUUGCCCUCCAAAUUCAAACAUUCCCUGCUGGAGGAUAGGAGCCAAUCAUGAGCUUCCGGUGGUUAAACGGGAGGUUAACAAACGGCCACAUACCCAGGAAGAAGAGAAGCUUGGAAGAUUCCUGAGGCCUCUGGCAACAUAAACGGAAGUGAACAAUUGCUAGGGGUGGAGACUCUGACCAACCAAUCUAUGGAAAGAAUGAUUGUGGAGCUACCUGUGUGCUGUGGAGAGAGCUUCUGGCUUGUAGGUUUUCGGGAGUCUUCACUCAUUUGGGGUCGGGCUUGCUGGUUUGGCAUCUUCUUUUGAGUUAUCCCUGCUCCUUGUAAUAACCCUCAGCCAUACACUUGUUAGUAACCACAAUUUUAAAAAUGGUGUGAUCACUGCUUUGGUUUGUCAUGCGUCCCUUUCUGGGGGCUGAAGAAGAGAUCAGAGAGUUCAAAAUCAGCUUAGACUACGUAGAAAAACCCUGCUGAGCAACAGGAGGAAGAAGAGGAAGAAGAGGAGGGAGAGGAGGAAGAGGAGGAGGGAAAAGAAGAGGAGGGGGGAGGACCACAUCCAAGAUGAGUGUCCCACACCCCCCGCAGUCAGUGCUCUGGAAAAAUCCUCACAAACACUGAGAAGUGCACUUCCUUAAUCUCCUACACGCUUCUCAAUCCAAUAAAAUUGAUAAUCAAAAUUCAUCGUCACAGUCACUUACAAUGUAAGCCUUACAUGAAUAUGACAUAAGUCUAAUUCCUAUUUU
rnacentral:lncRNA from 1 species